rnacentral:rRNA from 1 species
UACGGAGGAUGCAAGCGUUAUCCGGAUUCAUUGGGUUUAAAGGGUGCGCAGGCGGCGCAGCAAGUCAGUGGUGAAAUUCUGCCGCUCAACGGUAGGGCUGCCAUUGAUACUUCUGCGCUUGAGUGCGGUUGAGGCAGGCGGAAUGUGCAGUGUAGCGGUGAAAUGCAUAGAUAUUGCACAGAACGCCGAUUGCGGAGGCAGCUUGCCAAGCCGCCACUGACGCUGAGGCACGAAAGCGUGGGUAGCGAACAGGAUUAGAUACCCUGGUAGUCCACGCCGUAAACGAUGCUCACUCGCUGUUUGCGAUAGACAGCAAGCGGCUGAGCGAAAGCAAUAAGUGAGCCACCUGGGGAGUACGAUCGCAAGGUUGAA